GACGAACGCUGGCGGCGUGCUUAACACAUGCAAGUCGAACGGAAAGGCCCUGCUUUUGUGGGGUGCUCGAGUGGCGAACGGGUGAGUAACACGUGAGUAACCUGCCCUUGACUUUGGGAUAACUUCAGGAAACUGGGGCUAAUACCGGAUAGGAGCUCCUGCUGCAUGGUGGGGGUUGGAAAGUUUCGGCGGUUGGGGAUGGACUCGCGGCUUAUCAGCUUGUUGGUGGGGUAGUGGCUUACCAAGGCUUUGACGGGUAGCCGGACUGAGAGGGUGACCGGCCACAUUAAGAAGGAGACACGGCCCAGACGCCUACGUGAGACAGCAGUGAGGCAUAUUACACGAUGGGCGAAAGCCUGAUGCAGCAACGCGGCGUGCGGGAUGACGGCCGUCGGGUUGUAAACCGCUUUCGCCUGUGACGAAGCGUGAGUGGCGCGAAGGGGCAAAGAAGCACCGGGUAAAUCAGUG
rnacentral:rRNA from 1 species